rnacentral:rRNA from 1 species
AACGAACGCUGGCGGCAGGCCUAACACAUGCAAGUCGAGCGAUCGCAGCAAUGCGGGAGCGGCAGACGGGUGAGCAACACGUGGGAACGUACCCUUCGGUUCGGAAUAACUUGAGGAAACUUAAGCUAAUACCGGAUACGUCCGUGAGGAGAAAGAUUUAUCGCCCUUAGACGGGCCCGCGUCGGAUUAGCUAGUUGGUGGGGUAACGGCCUACCAAGGCGACGAUCCGUAGCUGAUCUUAGAGGAUGAUCAGCCACACUGGGACUGAGACACGGCCCAGACUCCUACGGGAGGCAGCAGUGGGGAAUCUUGGACAAUGGGCGCAAGCCUGAUCCAGCCAUGCCGCGUGAGUGAAGAAGGCCUUAGGGUUGUAAAGCUCUUUUGGCAGGGACGAUAAUGACGGUACCUGCAGAAUAAGCCCCGGCAAACUUCGUGCCAGCCGCCGCUGUAAAAC